GGUAGCUCAGUGGUAGAGUGCUUGCCUUGCAUGCAUGAGGCCCUGGGUUCGAUUCCUCAGUACUA
rnacentral:tRNA from 1 species